AUGGACCCUCCUCCAGUUGCCGAUCCUGGACAAACCAAGGAUAAAGGUGUUGGAUCUAAGGGUGAAAUGGAUCUCCCAGUUGCCGAUCCUGGACCGGUGAGGGAUGAAGGUGAGCUUCUCCGGUGCCCGUUUUGCGAUUAUGAAGCAGUGUACAAACUAGCACAAUUCUUGCUCCCUGGUUUGGCUGCGGUCUGUGUCGAUGGUACAACUGGUGAUCUGUUCAGGAGCCCAUCUGAUGUUGCUGUUGACCUCAGAAAAGAAAUGGUGGACAGCAUUACACAAAGAAGUGAAACGUUCAUAGCCGAUGUUGAGGCGGAACAAAACGCUGAGAAUGAAAUGUCGGAUGACCCUUAUGAGAUCGUGUCAAUAUUCAUGGAUGAUUUCAGUCGCACGAAAAGGAAUAUCAUUGGCCAUGUCUCUGGGUGGUUGCUAAGUGACAGCCGUGAUGAUAAGAUCGAUGACUUUGUCCAAGAAAUGGAGAUGACCCGCUUCUGGCCAUUAGAGAGGAGAGAAGCGAUAGCCGAGGUCCUCCUCAGGAAUGUGGACAUUAAAACCAAGUUCCACUGCCCUGAGAAAUAUGAAAACGAGGAACGUCUUGCUGAGCACAAAGCACAGUGUAGCUUCAGGCCUGUCACUUGCCCAAACGAGGGAUGCCGAACAAAAGUCUCUGUUCGUUGCAUGCAGGAUCAUGAUGCAACUUGCCUUUUCAAGAUCCUUCAGUGUGAGCAAAACUGUGAGAAACGGCUUCUGCGGCGUGAUAUGGAUAGACAUUGUGUCACUGUCUGCCCCAUGAGGCCCAUGAAGUGCCCUUUCGGGUGUGAUGAUUCGUUCAGUGAACACGACCUCGAGGAGCACUGUUCAGAGAGUCUCCAGCAACACUUGCUUAAGGUCCUUCAGGUGAUUCACAAGAAUAAUUUUACAGCUGAUGAGCUAAAGGAAACUGCUCUACGACUGGAGAAGUCUGAAGAUCGUGGUAAACUGGCUAAAGCUCGGGAUGCUAGAUCUCUAACUAGUAUUGUGAAGGAUCUUGAAGCAAAGAAAUUUCAAUGUUCUAGUGUAGUAUCUCAUGUAAACCUUGGUGGUUGA
rnacentral:rRNA from 1 species